ensembl:lncRNA
GCAGACAGAUGUUCAGUCAGUUCAGUCGCUCAGUCAUGUCUGACUCUUUGCAACCCCGUGGACUGCAGCACGCCAGGCUUCCCUGUCCAUCACCACCUCCCGGAUGUUCAGAGACUGACAAGAGCUCACUCCAUAUUGCAGAAGGAAAUUCCUAUGCAUGAGAAAAUUCCUUUGUUUAGUAAAUCACACAAAAAUCCAACAGAAAUUGUGAAAAUUCUGGAAGACAACAUGGUCGUUUUGGAAAAGACAAAAAGAUAAACAAGGGUCUAACACAAGCUCCAACAGUGAAGGCCUUUUGCUAGGCGACGGGGCUAACAGAGUCCUCUCCGGAACUUGUGUCAAGUGGUGGCCAGCAUUCGACACAAGAACCACUGUUGAAAGCAGCAUACCCCAGGGGAGCCAAGCUUGUGAUAAAAUCUAGAUCACUAUCGGUUCAAGAUUAAAUUUCCUGAGUAAGGCCGAUGAUGCGCACAUCCUGUGUGGUUGAUUAGAGAAGAUUUGUAUUUGGAUAGCAGGUGACAAGGAUCACAGUCUACGUGAAGGCUGAGCAGCCUAUUAAAGAGAUGAGG